rnacentral:rRNA from 1 species
GGGUUUCCGCCCUUCAGUGCUGCAGCUAACGCAUUAAGUAAUCCGCCUGGGGAGUACGACCGCAAGGUUGAAACUCAAAAGAAUUGACGGGGGCCCGCACAAGCGGUGGAGCAUGUGGUUUAAUUCGAAGCUACGCGAAGAACCUUACCAGGYCUUGACAUCUUCUGACAGUCUAAGAGAUUAGAGGUUCCCUUCGGGGACAGAAUGACAGGUGGUGCAUGGUUGUCGUCAGCUCGUGUCGUGAGAUGUUGGGUUAAGUCCCGCAACGAGCGCAACCCUUAUUACUAGUUGCCAGCAUUAAGUUGGGCACUCUAGUGAGACUGCCGGUGACAAACCGGAGGAAGGUGGGGACGACGUCAAAUCAUCAUGCCCCUUAUGACCUGGGCUACACACGUGCUACAAUGGAUGGUACAACGAGUCGCGAGACCGCGAGGUUAAGCUAAUCUCUUAAAACCAUUCUCAGUUCGGACUGUAGGCUGCAACUCGCCUACACGAAGUCGGAAUCGCUAGUAAUCGCGGAUCAGCAUGCCGCGGUGAAUACGUUCCCGGGCCUUGUACACACCGCCCGUCACACCAUGAGAGUUUGUAACACCCAAAGCCGGUGGGGUAACCUUUU